GCGUGCUGCCUGACCACCACCCUUGCCACUGGUCAGCUAGACACUUUAAUGCAUGUGCUAUUUUAUUCUCUCCUGUUUGGUUUGGCUUGAGACUAUGUAACCUACUAUGUAACCCUGGCUGGUCUGGAACUCACUAUGUAGACCAGGAUGGCCUUGAAUUCACAAAGAUCCCCUUGCUUCUACCUCCUGGCUGCUGGAAUUAAAGGUGUAUACCACUAUAGCCCCUCCCCCCCUUUUUAUUUUUGAGGAAGUGUCUUGUCUGGAGUCCAGACUGGCCUUGAACUCCCUAUGAGGCCCAAAAUAGUCUUGAAUUCAAAAUCCUUAAUCCUUCUGCUAGUCUCUGCAGUGUUAUAAUUAUAUGCACCACGACAUCUUGUUAGAUCUACCUUUUGCUACUAGUGAUUUUAGUAUUGUAAAAACAGAGUACUUCAUUGUGAAUAUUAUAGUGAAGUUGUUAAGAAAAUGGCAACUAUAUUCUAUCCUUAAAAGGACUCCUUUAAAACAGUGGUAUAUAUGUAUGGAAAUGUAACAGUACCCAUUAUUUUGUAUGCUAGCUAAAAAAUUAAUUUUAAAAAAUCUUGUUUAGACAUUGUAGAUUUAAAGUAAAAGAUUCAUGUGUGAUUAAUUUAUUAGAAUCUGUCUAUAAGUAAAAGAGCCAUUCUGGGCAAAUAGUUGCUGACAAAAUCACCAAUUUUUUUUUUCUUUAAAGAAAGAAACCACUGAUAAUAGAAAUUGUUAUUCAGGUUUACUAAGAUUUUUGUUUUACAGGAGCUUAUGUUAGAGGUUGUUUGUGUUGUUUUCUUUCUUGAGAUAGGGUCUCAAGAACCCUAGGCUAGCCUCAACCUAUAUUUAGCUGAUCCUCCUGUCUCUCCCUUUGAAGUGCUAGAUCACAGAUGUAUACCACCAUUGCUCUCUCUUCUUUCUUCUGGACACACAGGUUGACCAGAUGUCUGGUCUGGACUCUCCCCCUCACCCUUCCAAUGUGAGGUACCAUAUCCAGCAUAUUCAAACACUUCUAAAAGCAGUCUCCAUACCAAACAGACCAUGGUAGCUAAUGCCUGUGCUCUCAGUAAUAGGAGGCUGAAGCAGGAGGAUGGACAGUUCCUGAGACCUUGGUUGAAUGGAUGGAUGGGUAUCAUCCAAGCACAGAGUUGCAGUUACUACAGAGGCUGGGCAGCAUACGUUCCAAGCCCGGUGCUGACUGCUGCGGUGCACCACGCAGACCUGCAGUCCGUACUAAGUUCAGGCUGUAUGUGGUAAUCUCCCCAUGACUGCAGAUGAAGGGCUGUGCCUGUCAGUAUCCACUACCCCAGCCUAGACAGCUGACCCCAAAAGCCCUGAAGGUGAAUAAGUAGCAGGUAGGUAUGUGCCUAAAUUCUACAUUAACAUGACCAUAGAUACUUUCAGUCUAAGCCUUUCUGUUUUAGAAAUGGCCAUUGAUAGUGUUUCUACCUAAAACAAAGAUUUGGGUUUUAUUGUGGUUACUGGGUUGCAAGAAACUGUUCCUGAGGUAAGCACUGAACGGAGCAGGGAUGUGAUGAUCGCUUUUGAUUAUUUCAGUGUGAAACUUCUGUAAAUAUAUAUAAGUUUAAGGUAGGCAUGGUGGCACACAUCUUUAAUCCCAGCAACUGAGUAGGCAGAGGCAGAUGGAUCUCUUCAAGUUCAAGGUCAGCCUGGUUUAUAUACAGGAGUACUCACUCUAGAUAGGUAGGUAGGUAGAUAGGUAGGUAGGUAGGUAGAUAUCUCUGAUUCAAAUGUAGUCAAAAUAUAGAUAAUCUGAAUUCUAACACUUAUCCAGGACCACUCAGACCUGAGAACUGUUACCUGAUCUUAUGCUAAAUAAGAAGGGAGUCUGAGAGUUGCCGAGAGGGCUGCUGGUUUGUCUGUCUUAAGUCUCCUCAAAGCCCAGCAGGUGCCCUUCCAGAACUAGGUGGUCAGUGGCCCUGCUGGAGGAGGCCCUUUUCAAGCUAUAGACAGAGAAUGGCAGUGUCUUAUUGGGGGACAUUAUUUCUCCUGAUGUUAAGAAAAUAACUCUCCACCAGAAGUCACAUCUUAAGUGAUCAUUAGGUGGGUUGUUUUGUUUUGUUUUGUUUAAUUAAAGCUUCAAAGCAAGAUUAAAGAUUGAAUUUAGGUAGAAUUAGCAUUAAUAGUCAAUCUUUUCUGUAAUUUAUAACAAGAAAAAAAAAGUGUCCCCAAAGUGAUGGUUAGGUUAGUUAAAUAUUGUAGUAAGGAGAGAAAUCCAUUGAGACCUCAGGGUAAUAAGCAGGGGUUAGCAGAAAGGUGACACUGUUCAUUUCUGUGACAUUUCUGGCUAAACAAGCUUUUGUAGACCCACUGGGAAUAUAACCACUAUUUUCAUGGGAAAAUAAAUUCCAGGUUCCAGUCAAGUAAUUUAGAGAUGUUGUGGAACACAGCCACUAAUAAGUUUAGAGUUGUGUGCUCCAGAGUCCCUAUCACGCCAUUUUGAUAGAUAGCUAGAGUUCAGCAGUAAGGGGAAAUGGGGUAAAUCGACUCUUACAGAUAAAAAUGAAGAUUAACUAUGAUCAUAGCUCAGAGGAGAAGACUGUCAAAGACUGAGACGGUCGUAGCACAGAAGAAAGGGAAAUCCCAGUGACUCAGAUCAGAUUGUCCCCCCCCUUACUCUGUAUGCAGUGCCGCUCCUAGGUGUCACAUGAUAUCAUAGAUAUUUGUGGUUUGUUUUAUUCUGUUUUGUUCUAGUAAGAGAGAUGAGGCCUCAGACUAGCCUGGCUUUAACGCCGUAAGCCAGACUGGCCUGGAAGCUGUGGAGUCCUUCAGUCGCAGACACCCAAGUGUUAGGAUUGCAGGCGUUCCUUAGCCAUCAUGUCUGGCUUUCUUUUAGACUUGGACCCAGAAGGAGGAACAGUGCAGUGGCUCAGCAGAGAAAGACCCUUGCUGCACUGCCCUGGCAACCUGGGUUCAAUCCCUGGCCCCCAGAUAAAGGUGAUAGGAGAGGUCUGACUCCACAGAGCUAUCCUCUGACCCUCACAUGUGCACCGCGGUACUCAUGCCUCUACGCUGCCACAUGAUAACGAAUAAUUCUCUAAUCAGAAUAGGAAAGAGAUGAGGCCAGAGCCUUCUGUUUGCCUGCUACUGUACUGCCUCUUGUUGUGCCUUCAUCUCUGCCUUAAGGUGACAGGGCAGAGUGUUGCCCAGCAUACCCAAGGCCUAGAGUGUGAUCCCCAGCCCUAGUCAAAAAAAGGCUUAACAUGGUGUGUCUGCGUGUGCUUCUGGAAUGGGUCAAAAACAGUGACAGGAAACACUGCUGCUGCAUUGAUAAGGGUGAAAUGUGUAGCAUCGCAUGCGUGCGCGCACACACACACACACACACACACACACACACACACACACAGAGUUGCUGGCAGCACUAAAUACAUCCAUGGGAACUUGUUGACUAAUCAUGAUGUAUCCCACCUAGAACAUCUCAUCAAAAUGUAGUGUGCCCAUGCUAUUAUAUUAAGGUCACCCUGUAAAAUAGACAUGAAGGAGCCAACAAGAUUCAUGGAAUCAUGGGGUGGGUGGGUGGGUGGGUGGGUGGGGGAGCAAUGCAAAGGUUUUUUUCUUGUGGAAAAUCAAAUUAAAUAGGUGUUGUAGUUUGACUGUGAAAUGCCACACCCUAUCACACACUGGCCUUUUUUGCCCACUGAUGACCUUGUAGGAAGUGAUUAGAUGAUUAGGCUUCAGGAUUUAUAGAUGGAUUGAUCCACUGAUAGUUGAUAGUCUGAUGGCAUUAUUGAGUUCUGGUUGGAAGAAGUGGGCCACUGAUGGUGUGCCUUUGAGAACUGUAUCCUGUUCCCAGCUGUGCUUCUAGGUUCCUGCUUCCUGGCUGCCUGGCUGUGAGCAGCUUUACUCCUGUAUAUUCAUCUACCAUGAUGCUCUGCCUCUGCCUCACCGUGACCUAGAAACCUCUGAAACAGUGAGCCAAAAUAAACCUGCCCACCCUUUCAGUCAUCUCUUUCUGGAAUUUGGCACUUCAAAGGAAGUCUGAACAUAACUGGGUUGAUACUAAAGUCCAUGAAAGAAGAUUCUUUUUUUUUUUCUUCAAGAUUUUUAUUUAUAUGAGUACACCGUUGCUGUCUUCAGACACACCCCAGAAGAGGGCAUCAGAUCCCAUUACAGAUGGUUGUGAGCCACCAUGUGGUUGCUGGGAAUGGAACUCAGGACCUCUGGAAGAGCAGUCAGUGUUCUUAACCACUGACCCAUCUCUCCAGCCCAGAAAAAAGAUUCUAAACCUUAUUUACCUGUGAGUCAAAAGGAAUGUGUGGAUCUAAAGAGAGAUGUGUAAGAAAGAAGGAAGUGCUGGAGAGAGAGAAGGAGAAACGAAAGGCGUCAGGGGUAUUUUGUUUAUGUUGUUUUUGCUUUAUUUGGAGACAGGCUCAUAUAGCCCAUGAUGGCCUAGAACUCUGUAGCCAAGGUUAGCCUUGAUCUUUUGAUCCUUUUGCCUCCAUGUAUAGAAUCUUGGCAUUGCAGGCAUGAACCAACAUAGCCAGUUUAUGCAGAACUGAUUGAUGAUAGGACCCUAGCUCCCCAGCAAGCCCCAGUCAUACAUAGCUUAUUUUAAAUAUUGGCGCAAGUGGACUUAAAGGGUAACUUUUUUUCCCCUGAGUUUUGCUGUCACUAUAGAUGGCUCUGUACCAUAACAAAAAUUUUAUAAGACUGUCUUUCAUUAUACAAGUUUCCUUUAAAUCAUUGGGUGUUGGGGGUGGCAGACGACAACACAUGAUGGGGACCCAACCUUUCAACUGAGAAAAUAAAAGUAAAUCUUCCCAUAGUCAUAAACCAUUUCUGUUUCCACAGAAGUUGUAUGUCUAUUCUAAAUGUACUAGAAGCAGUUAUGUAAUUUACUACCAACAGAAUUUAUCCUUCAAAUGUCGCAACAAUGGGUCAGUCACCUCCGUUUGUGGUAGGACACACAGGUGCUUCCUGUUGCCCUGCCCAGGAUGAUGUUAACAUCAACCUCAGAGAAGGCUGUUGGGCCAGCCUGGAGCCAAAUGGUAGCCACUGUGUCUGUAUUGAGGAGGUAGGAAGAACUGUUUCUUAAAAUGUAUUUGUCUGUUUCUGGUUUUGAGACAAGAUUAUCACAUUAUAUGGCUCUGGGUAGCCUGACAUUGUAUCCCAUGCAAGCUGCAGAAUCACAGUAGACCUCCCUACUUAACUUGGCCAACACUGGGAUCAGAGGCAAGUGCCACUGUGCCCAAGAGCAGGAUGGGAGAGGUAGGCCAGCAGUAAAGAGCGCACCAAAGGACCUGGGUUCAAUCCCAGGCACUCACACAGUGUCUAACAACCGUCUAUACCCCAGCUCCAAGGGAUCCAACACCCUUUUCUGGCCUCUGUGGGCACCAGGCAAGCAUGUAGGAUACAGACAUACAUGUAUGAAAAACACCCAUACUCAUAAAAUAUAAAUAAAUAAAAUUUAAGAGCAAUAAAUCUUGAGUGUUUUAUACAACAGUAGUUACUAGUGGUCAGGUAAGUUAUCACAAGUAAGUGUGUCGACGCCUGAGAUAAACUAAGAAAACAGUUCAUGGCAGCCAUGACAGUGCACACUCCUAUCCCAGUAUGAAAGAGGCUGAGGCAGGCUAGUACUGUGAGUUCAGAAGUUCAAGACCAGCUUGGCCAACAUAGUGUAACUCCAUGUCAGAGUAAGUAGGGCUGAGGAUGUAGUUCUCUUGGUAGUGUGUUGGCCUCGCAGGCAUAAAGCCCUGGGUUCAAUCCCCAGCACUGUAUGAACAGGGUGUAGCAGUCUGCACCUAUAAUCCCAGCCGCUUAAGGCAAGAAGAUCCAAAGUUCAAGGUCAUCGCCAGACAGGCACAGAGACUGUUCCAAACCCUGUGGGGUUGGACGUGGGGGAAGGAAAGUAGAAUGGCGGGAUACCAUGCUAAGAAACACCAUGUAACUGUUCUCACAGGCCAUUUGUCUUUUUGUUGCAACUGUUAGAAGGAAGUUUCUGUGUUCUUCAGAUCAAAUACAUAUGUGUGUAUGCAUAAAUAUAUAGAGUACAUAUAUGUUCCAAUAUGGAAUCUUUAUGUUCUGCUGGAGUAGUAUGCUACUUUUCUGUUUUGCUUCGAGAAUAUCUUAACUGAGAUGAGAAAAAUUAAGAUUCUUAAAGACAUAUUUAUUUCAUGUGUCUGAGUGUUUUAUCUAUAUGUAUGUAAAUUUGAGUGCCAAAAGGGACUGGCGCUGGCUCCUGAGGCUGCAGUUAGAGUAGUUGUAAGCCAACGUGUGGGUGCUGGAAACGAAACUGGGUCCUCCAACAGAGCAGUAAGGAAAAGUGAAAGAUUCUUUUAAGCAGGGAGGAACAGUUUGUGUAUUUAUCGUUCUGUUUGCUGAGCUCUUUGCCCAAACAAUACUUGUAACCCUGUUGGUCACAGUGACACGUGCUUGUCUGUCUGUAGUCCCAAGUUUUCUAGAGACAGAAGCAACAGAUCACUACGGCCCAAGAGUCUGAAGUCUGUCUGGGCAAUAGAACAAGACCCAGAGAGUAGAGAGGGGGAGAGGGAAGAAGAGGGAGGGAGAAGAAGAGAGAGAAACCAAACUUAGCAUGGAAACAUUCUGGGCAUGUGUGGGGUUUUCUCAUUUCAACCAAUUCUCCCAACUCUCUGGAUAUAACAGAGUGUCCUACAGCUCAAUCAAAAGUGACACUGUGACACCAGUUACCAGAAGUUAUCAUCAGACCUCACAGGUUUAGUGGUUGAGUCCCACAAGACAACCAUCACUUCAGGUGCUAGUCCCAAGUAUCAGGUCCUCAGGCUACCCCCACUAACGUCCCACGUGGCCAAAGUGAGGUUGUCCUACAACCUGUAGUUUGAAGAUUUGCUAGAACUCAUUAUACAAACAGCAACACUCCUGGUUUAUUACAGAGUCUAACCCUGGAACAACCAAAUGGAAGAACACGAUGGCCAGGAUACUGUGGAGGUGCUGGAAAGGCACAGGGUUUCAGUGUCCUCUCUGGACACAUCACCCUCAGAGCUCAGGUGUGUGGUCUCCAUCCUGGAAGCGUCCAUACCCUGGCAUGUGGAAUACUGAUGGCCAGGCACGUAGACAUGCUUAAUUAUUAACCCCAUCUCCUGCCCCUCUUCCUUCCCUGAGGCCAUGGGGUAAGCAAAGCUUCCAGGCCUCUGAUCAAGGUUUGGUCUGGUCUCCAGUUAUUCCUAAACUGUUUGGGGGCAGGUCAAGAGUCACUCAUUAGAAAGAUACUCUUUUGACCCGGGAAUUCUAAGAGCUUUCAGAAGUCUGUGGACCAGGGACAAUGGCCAAAUAUCAGCACAGGAGGCACACACCUCUGUCAUCUGGAAGUUAUUCAGGGCAGAGAGGCUUUACGUCAGGAAGCAAGGAUAAAGAGCAUGUAUAUGUUUCUUAUACAAUACAUGCAUACACACUAUUUUGAAACAAAGCAAGAAGCAGUCAUCUAGCGCUGGGACUGGAGAGAUGGCUCAGUGGUUAAGGGUCUAGAUUCAGUUCCCAGAACCACCACGUAGAGGCUCAGUCUGUAACCCUAGUUCCAGAGGCUCGACACUCUUACACAUAAUGAACUAGUAAAGCUUUAUUAAAAUUUCUUUACAAAUGUAUUAAUUGCCCUAAUUUUCACUUUUGGAUUAUUCUCAUUAACAGGUACUCUGCUUAAUCUAUACUACCGUAUCACACCUGUUGAACCAGGCUGGCUGUCUCUGCCUCCCAAACGCUGAGGUGGACCCUAACAUGCCCGGCUUUCAAUUUUAUUUUUAUGUUUGUGUGUGUGUGUGUGUGUGUUUACAUGGACCAUGGCAUGUGGAGGUCAAAGGGCAACUUUAAGGAGUCAUUUUUUUUCCACCACAUGGGGAUCCCAUUCAGGUGGCGAGGUGUCUUUCCCCACUGAGCCAUCUCACCAGCUGUCGGCUAGGAGUGUGUCAGCACGCUACAAACACUUUUGAUUUAAGAAGGAAAUUCUUUUACUGGGCCUAGCAGCAUACACUUUUUUUUUUUUUUUUUUGAGACAGGGUCUCACUAUGUACUCUGGGUGGCCUCGAACUCGCUAUGUAGGCCACACUGGCCUGAAACCCACAGAGAUCCUCUUGCCUCUGCUUCCCCUGUGUGGCAUGCACUUUUAACCACAGCUCAGAGGCAGAGGCAGGUGGAUCUCUGAGUUUGAGGCCAGCCUGGUCUACUUAGUGCUUUCCAGACUAGCCAGGGCUACAAAAACACAACAAAGCAAUGCUUUCUUUUCAAUUACAGAUAAUGGGGAUGGGCAGGUGAAUGCAGGUGCCCUCAAGGAUCAGAAUCCCCUGCACCUGGGGUUACAGGGGAUUGGGAGCCGCCCUGUGUAGGUCCUGGGACCAAAUGGGUCACCCGCAAGUGCAGUAGGUACCCUUAACCACUGAGCCAUCUCUCAGGCCCUGUAAAUACUCCUCAUCUUAACAGCUGGAAGGACCAGCAAGAUGGCUCAGCAGGUAAAGACACCUGCUACCAAGCCUAACAACCUGAGUUGAAUCCACAGAAUCCACAUGGCAGAAAGAAAACCAACUCUUCCUGAAAACUGUCAUCUGACCUCCACUUGUGUGCCACGAUGUGCAAACACACACACACACACACACACACACACAAGACACAACUGGUGUGUACCUGUAUUUUGUUAGCAGUCUCUCCUCAGAGCUCCUCGGUUUCCCACUCUUUCCUUCCCAGUGACUCAGUCCUUCCUGUCUUUCCUGACCCCAUCACUCGGGAAAACUCCUGAUCUUAAUUUGGUAGAAUUAGUACUUUGGUUUUUUUCCCAGUGUUUUUUUUUUGUUGUUGUUGUUGUUUGUUUGUUUGUUUUCAUGAUUAGAUGAGGGUUGGUAUAUUUUUUUUUGCAAGAAUCUCAGAUGUAAUGACCUGUAGGUGAUGUCAAUGUAUUAUUAAUAAUUAUAUCGUUUUUCUAUCACCUCCAUAACAAGUUACCACAGAUUAGCCGUCUGAAAGCAACACCCAUUUCUUAUCUCAGCUUCUGGUGGUCAGAACUAUGAGUAACUUGUGCAUCUACCUAGAAAUCACAAUGCUAAAGUUCCUCUGUGGGUUGGACAGCCUUCUCAUCCAGGUUAGGUACUUAUCAGUUCCUUUCUCUAAGCUGCUAGGAGAUAUUUCCAUGGUAUUGCCACAUGACCCCCAUCUACUCAGGCAGCAGUUGUCCCUGCAAACAGUCCCCACACCUUCUCUACUUCUAGUCUCGGGUUUGAAAUGUUGCAUAAAGUUGGGCACAUGGCACAUGCCUGUAAUCCCAGCACCUGGAAGGGAGCCCGAAGUUAAGGACUGCUGCAAAUCUGAGGCCAGCCUGGAAUACAAACUGAGACCACAAUUCGAACCCUAUAUCAAAGAAAGGAAGAGGAUCAGGAAAGAGGGAGGGAGGGAGGGAAAUUGUUGUCUCCCCUCUCGUUGUUUUCACUGGUGGUGAUAAGCCACUGCAAAGGCAGUACAAGCUCUCAACCACCGAGCCGUCUCUGCCCCAUGGUUUUAUUGUUUUAUUUUAUUUUA
rnacentral:lncRNA from 1 species